CCCAACCUCCCUAUUCCUCUCGAUUCCUCCCACACCGGCCGCCGCCCCUCGUCAGACAUUGUGACUCCUUUGCGCGGCAGCGACCUACACGCUGGCGCGCCGCUCGUCACCACUCCCCUGCGACCCUCCAUCCCGGCGCGCAGUCCCUCGUCACCACUCCCCUGCGACCCUGGAUCCCGGCGCGCCGCUCGUCACCACUCCCCUGCGACCCUCCAUCCCGGCGCGCAGUCCCUCAUCACCACUCCCCUGCAACCCUGGAUCCCGGCGCACCGCCCCUCGUCACCGCUCCCCUGCGACCAACGGCGAAUCCAAGUUUCUAGCGAAAAUAUCUGAAGAUCCUUACUAGUUUCCAGUGACGUUCUAUCCUAUUAAGCAAGAGUCUUCAAGGUGGUAGUUCAGUUCAACACUGCUGAUCUCCGUGUCCGGCGCCCCAUGCUCCAACCUUGGACUUGUUCCUAGGGACAUGAAUGGACGUGCCCAGUUUUAGCAAAGUACGCGCACGAAUGCUGGUUCAUUCAUGCGCCUUCCUGCCUUUCUGAUGCCGUUUUCAUCCAAUAACAUUUUCGGCAGGGAUAUGAUUAUUAUGUAUGACUAUAUCAGCAGCAAGGUGUUUUUAGUACCAAAUGAUGAAUAUUUCAACCACUAUUUGGCGGUAAGUUAGAUGCUUUCCCUUACUUCCCAAAAAUAAUAUAGGUACUUCUGUUACAGUUGGGAGCUGAUGUAUUGUUAUCCCAGUAUGGUGGCCAAUACAAAUUAUAUUCUAUAUUCGUGUGCACACUGAGACCAAAUAAAUCAUAAUUGUAUUAUCUUUUUUUUGGCCUUUGUGGUAACAUGGUAUCUCGUUGUAUCUUGUUUAAAAAAUCAUGAGAAAUAUUUUAAUAUUACUAGUUUGCUUUUUCAACUAAAAAGGAUAUUGGUAUUGUCGUUAUCGUUAGUUCAGGACACGGUGCUUCCAUAGGUGUAUUUUUUCGGGUACUAUUACGCACUAAAAGUCGGGAACAAGUUCUAUUCUGCCUAUUAUAUUUAUGAAGUAUGGAUAGAACAGACGUUCUUGUUUUGCAAAUCCCAUACGGAAAGGGAAAGGACAAACUAGAUACAAGGAUACAGACGUUCUUGUUUUGCAAGUUCUAUUCUGCCUAUUUUUCAGUACUAUGAGCCUGUACUCAUGAAGUAUGCUGCAAGGAAAUACGCGCCUACAAGUUGCCCCUAUAAGAUUAAUAUACUGUUUUAGCUAUUCCACUAUAAAUUAGUUACUCUUUUAGCAAUUUCAAUAGAAAUUAUUUUGGUUUGCCCAAUAAGAUUUUCCUAGAACAGUAUGCACACUAUUGAUUUGCAACCAUCCUUUUCUGGGUCCAGAGUUGUUCGUCACCCACAAAAUAUUUACUCAUCAUUAUUUGUGCCAUUUGUAAAAUGGAUGUCACCAUGUAUCACAAAAAAAUAUGUUGUUCUAUUGUAUUUGCAGCACACAAAUUAUCACGAUUUGUUUUCAGUUUCAAAGAAAAUAAAUAUUUACUUGGGCUAACUAGCAUGUGUACCAGUUCAGGUAUGUGGCAUGCAAGCAGAGGAGAGGAUGAACUUGACAAUUACCAAUACUACUUCAUAUUUGAUUUGACAAGAUGCAAAAGAUAAAUGGAUGAUUAUAUGGGUGUGUGGCAAGUAUACUGCAAUGAUGAUAAUUUUGUUCCUGUUGUUGUUGUUGAUGAUGAUGAUGAUGAUGAUGAUGAUGAUGACGACGACGAUGAUGAUGGAUGCUUUCAGUUUUAGUUAAGUUGUAGGGAUGAUGUUCAUGUUGGAUGAUGUUCCUCGGUUAAGUUUUAGAUAAGUUGUAGGGAUGUGAUGGAUGCUUUCAGUCUAAGUUUGCUACCAAGAAAAUAUUUAGAUUAUACAUCACAUUAGAUGGUGUUCCUCCUAUAAUAUCCACUAUUGUAAUCCAACAAUUUUAUCAAAUAUAUGAUUUAUUCGUCUA